AGCGAACGCUGGCGGCAGGCCUAACACAUGCAAGUCGAGCGGACGUAGCAAUACGUCAGCGGCAGACGGGAGAGUAACACGUGGGAACGCGCCCUUCGGUUCGGAAUAACUCAGGGAAACUUGGGCUAAUACCGAAUACGCCCUUACGGGGAAAGAUUCAUUGCCGAAGGAACGGCCCGCGUCCGAUUAGCUUGUUGGUGAGGUAACGGCUCACCAAGGCGACGAUCGGUAGCUGGUCUGAGAGGAUGACCAGCCUCACUGGGACUGAGACACGGCCCAGACUCCUACGGGAGGCAGCAGUGGGGAAUAUUGGACAAUGGGCGCAAGCCUGAUCCAGCCAUGCCGCGUGGGUGAUGAAGGCCCUAGGGUUGUAAAGCCCUUUCGGCGGGGAAGAUAAUGACGGUACCCGCAGAAGAAGCCCCGGCUAACUUCGUGCCAGCAGCCGCCGUAAUAC
rnacentral:rRNA from 1 species